rnacentral:rRNA from 1 species
CAAUAGCGUAUAUUAAAGUUGUUGCAGUUAGAACGCUCGUAGUCGGAUUUCGGGGCGGGCCGACCGGUCUGCCGAUGGGUAUGCACUGGUCGGCGCGUCCUUCCUUCCGGAGACCGUCCCUACUCUUAACUGAGCGGGGGCGGGAGACGGGACUUUUACUUUGAAAAAAUCAGAGUGUUUCAAGCAGGCAGCUCGCUCUUGCAUGGAUUAGCAUGGGAUAAUGAAAUAGGACUUUGGUGCUAUUUUGUUGGUUUCGAACACCGAAGUAAUGAUUAACAGGGACAGUCAGGGGCACUCGUAUUCCGCCGAGAGAGGUGAAAUUCUCAGACCAGCGGAAGACGAACUACUGCGAAAGCAUUUGCCAGGGAUGUUUUCACUGA